rnacentral:rRNA from 1 species
AACGCAGCGAAGGGGCGAUAAGUAAUGUGAAUUGCAGAUUUUCUAGUGAAUCAUCGAAUCUUUGAACGCACCUUGCGCCCCUUGGUAUUCCGGAGGGGCAUGCCUGUUUGAGUGUCAUUAAAUCCUCAACCCCCUCCGAUUCGUUUCGGUGGGGAUUGGACUUGGAGCGUGCUGGCGAAGGUCGGCUCCUCUUUUAAAAUGCAUCAGCGGAGAAAAUGCCUUUUUGCGCCUCUGGCCGUUCAGCGUGAUAAUGAUGUUGCGCUGCGGUCGAGCUUAAGGUCCGCUUCCAAAGGUCCUCUCGGACGAUAUAUACAUAUGACUUUUGACCUCAAAUCAGGUAGGACUACCCGCUGAACUUAA